GCGGCCCCGCCCAGCCCUGCCCAACACCGGAAGUUCAUCAGUACUAAGAAGCCUGAACAUUUGGAAGAGAACGAAAGAGGUAAGGAUCCCAGCAGCUCUUGGAUUUUCUCUGUCAGACCUAGCUAGAUGAGGUUAUGUCCAACACUGAAGGAAGAUGUUUUUAUUGAAAACAUUGAGGAAGUGGGGACUGGCUCGAUGUUAAUUACUACUUUGAAAUAUUUAGAUUUUAUCUCUAAAUCCCUCCUAGAUGAAACCUAAAAAUGUAGGAAGAAUUUCUAAGUGGAAGGCCUAUUAAUAUGUAAGUAGACAAAUGAGUCUCAGGAAGCACUACUUCUAAGUUUUUUUCAAACAUUAUACUACCUCCUAUGAGGAGAGGAAAUACAGAUUACAGAACAUAGAGCUCCAAACCAAAUUAUUUCAGCUUUCAUUUCUACAACAGGCACGUACCAACAUUACUUUAGUGUUUAAAUGACUUCAGAGAGCUCACUCCAAUUCACUAAAAUGAGAUUUUAUUUAAGUCAGAGCAGGUUGCAAACUGGGUUAUAACUUGUAUGUUUAAUACUCAUAGUGUUUAUGGAAGGCAUGAUGCUUCUUCUCUGCUUAUAAAUAUAUAAUACCAUAAUGAAAGUUAUCCACUAAAUGUUAAUAGUCAGUAUGGCAUCUACCUGGAAUAUGCUUUUCCCCAGAGAUCUGUCAUAGUGUGUUUGGGAAAGAGAAGGUGGUAGGAAGGGCAUCAAUGAAGAUGCCUGUGUUAAAAAGAUAUGUCUUUCCUUCCAGUUCAUUUCUUAUUUUGUAAUCUUACAUCUCAUUUCGAUUAUGUUUCACCGUUUUCUGAAGAGAGGGCAGAAACUGUCAACUGAGGACACAAUUGAAAAAAAUUCUGACUUACGGGGAAUUUAUUUCAAAGGUUUAGUUCCUCAAUAAAUUACUCAGGCUCUGGGUAAUUUAGCUUCAGGAGACCUGAUGACUUUCAUCUUUUCCCCUUAAACACACAGAACAAGAAGAGCUUCAAAAUGAGGUGUCGCAGGAGGAAAGUUACUGCCCAAACCAGCAGACUAAAGGGUGCUGCAAGUUUCAUCAUGCUUUUCAACCACUGAGACAUCUGUCUUCUCUUUUUUUUAAAGGUCUCCGUCCCUGAAGAAUGGGGCAAGAAACAAAUGUAGUGAUUUCGUUUCUUCACACACACUCUCCCUUCACAUUUCAACUCCAGGAGAAUCAACUAACAAACUAUUAGAAAUAGUAACAGAGCCCAACAGUGUGACCAGAAACAAGAUCAAUAGACAAAAUCUCCAGCCUUAGACUGAAUAUUAAUUAAAAGACUGAAGAAACAUUGCUAACACAUUGUCUUACAAAUAUACUAAAGGAGGUCUUCAGAAUGAAAGGAAAUGACUAUAGAUAGCAGGAAAUGAUAGGUACCAGAAAUGAUAAACUGUGAAUAAAUAAAUUGUGUACAUAUAUUUUUUUCCUCCUCUCUUAAUUUCUUUAAAAACACAGCAAUCUUGUGUUAGAUUGUGUAAAGCAGUAAUUAUAAGAAUGUAUUCUUGGGUUUAUAACAUACAUAGGUGUUAUACAUACAUAAUAUGUAUGGCAGUGGAGGGAGGAUUGGAACUAUAUUGUUAAGUUGCUGUAUUUUACUGGUAUUAAGUCAGUAUUAACCCAAAGUAGAUUGUGCCUAGUUAAUAUUUAUAUCAUAAUUCCUAGAGUAACUAUUAAGAAGUAGUAAUUUUGUUAAAAUCAACAGAAGAAUGAAAUAGGUUCACUAAAAAAAGUUUAACACAAAAGAAUACAGUAGAGGAGGAACAGAGGAAGAACAAAGACCUAAGACAUGGAAAAACCAACUUUACCUAGCUGAUUCAUGGAAUGCUCCACCCAACAGAAGAAUACACAUGCCUUUUAAGCAUACAUGGAAUAUUACCCCAAACAGAUAAUAUUUUAGGAAACAAUCAGUAAACUACAACUCAAGAGCCAGACACCUAAUUUUUUAAAACCAUUUUUAGGUGUGCAGUUCAGUGGCAUUAUUUACAUUCAUAAUGUUGUGCAACCAUCACCAUUAACUAUACCCCAAAUUUUUCAUCAUCCACAGCAUAAUCUCUGUACUCAUUAAACAGUAACUCCCCAUUCCCCUCUCCCUCCAGUCUGUCUAAUCUACUUUCUGUCCCUAUGAAUUUGCCUAUCCUAGACAUUUUAUAUAAGUAAAAUUAUAUAGUAUUUGUCCUUCUGUGUCUAGCUUAUUUCACUUAGCCUAAUGUUUUCAAGGUCUAUCCAUAUUGUAUCAUAUAUCAGAAGUUCAUUCUGUAUUGUAGACAAAAAAAUAUUCCAUUAUAUGUAUAUACUACAUUUUGUUUAUCCAGUCAUGUGUUGAUCAACACUUGGGUUGUUUAUAUCUUUUGUUUAUUGCGAAAAAUACAGCAAUGAACACUUGUGUACAAACAAGUAUCUCUUUGAGUCCCUGCUUCCAGUUCUUUUGAGUAUCUACCUAGAAGUGGAAUUGCUGGUAGUUUUAUGUUUAACUUCUUGAGGUACCACUAAACUGUUUCCCACUGCAUCAUUUUAUAUUCCCAUCAGCUAUGUACAAGGCUUCCAAUUUCUCCACAUCAUCACGAACACUUAUUUUCCAUUUAUUUUAAAUUAUAAGCAUCCCAGUAGGUAUGAAGUGGUAUUGGGUUGCAUUUCCCUAAUGACUAUUGAUGGUUGAGCACCUUUUUAUGUGCUUAUUCGGUUGCCUAUUUUUGUAAAUAAAUGUUUAUUGGAACAUAGUCUCACCCACUUGUUUAUCUAUUGUUGAGUGUGCUUUCAUCAAAAAGACUGUAUUGCUGCAAGUGUUAAAUGUUUAACUAAUAUCUCACCCAGUAAGAGAAGGUUUGCUAAUUCCCAUGUUAGCCCAUGAAAAAGCCUCAAUGUAUUUUAAAAACACUGAAAUAAUUUUUAAAAAUGGUCUUUGUUUAAAACCGAGUUAGAUUAGAAAUCAACAGGAAGAAA